UACGGAGGGUGCAAGCGUUGUCCGGAUUUAUUGGGUUUAAAGGGUGCGUAGGCGGCCCGUUAAGUCAGUGGUGAAAGCCUCCAGCUCAACUGGAGAACUGCCAUUGAUACUGGCGGGCUUGAGUACAGACGAGGUUGGCGGAAUUGACUGUGUAGCGGUGAAAUGCAUAGAUACAAUCAAGAACACCGAUUGCGUAGGCAGCUAACUAGGCUGUAACUGACGCUGAGGCACGAAAGCGUGGGGAGCGAACAGG
rnacentral:rRNA from 1 species